AGAGGUGAACCAGGCCAACACAAGACAGAUGGGAUGCAAGAACACUGUUGACACAUCAAUACUUCAUACAAGGCAAUAAAGCGGCUACCACCACCAUGACCACCAUGACCACCACCACCACCAUGACCACCGCCACCACCACCACCACCACCACCACCACCACCACCACCACCACCACCACCACAGCACUCAGCGUGGCACAGAAGGAACAGAGCCAGGCGGAAAACAAGGACUAAGAUCCACUGCCACUUCCAAAUAAGAGGUGAACCAGGCCAACACAAGACAGAUGGGAUGCAAGAACACUGUUGACACAUCAAUACUUCAUACAAGGCAAUAAAGCGGUAUGUAUCAUCAUGCUUUAGUGUAUGAGAGCAUUGUAUAAGCCACAACACAUACAUACACUGCCAUGUACACCC